GGGCGCUUAGCUCAGUUGGUAGAGCAGCUGACUCUUAAUCAGCGGGUCGUAGGUUCGAAUCCUACAGCGCCCACCA
rnacentral:tRNA from 6 species